GCACUCUUGAAAAAGAGUCAGAAAGUGAUUUAGAAUUUUCGCUCCCUAUUCAUUUAUGGAUAGGGAGCUUUUCUUAUUUU
rfam:Enterococcus saccharolyticus 30_1 cont1.31, whole genome shotgun sequence.